CCCUGAUGGUGCAACCUGGUGGGUUCAUGGAGCGUCUGUACGCUCUCCUGUACUCCUUCCUGCCCACUGUUGCCAGCAUUGAGCCAAAGGCUGAGAGAUACCUGUUGCUGCUCAAUGGCGGGCUGAUGGCUCUGCUAGAUGACAUGUUUGGGCAGCAGCUGGCCUGGUAUUUUAACCGAGAGUCUCUGGUCACUGAGCUCUCCAGUCUCCUGGAGUACCACCUCGAGUACCUCAUGGCCAGCAUGUAGUCCUACUGCAGAGACCUGAAGGGCCACACUUCUC